GCGUUAGUUACUUCAAACUGAUCGGUCUUCGGACUGCCAUCAAGUGAGAUUGAACUAUUCAGCUGAUCGCACGGUCUAUGAACCGGCGACAUAUCCUUCAAAUGUCUGCCUUAUCAACUUUCGAUGGUAGAUUAUGCGCCUACCAUGGUUGUAACGGGUAACGGAGAAUCAGGGUUUGAUUCCGGAGAGGGAGCCUGAGAAAUGGCUACCACAUCCAAGGAAGG
rnacentral:rRNA from 1 species